rnacentral:RNase_P_RNA from 3 species
GCGAGCUGGUGUACGACGGCUGCUACGGCAGAGGAAACUCCUCCCUCCAUGCAGGAAAUGUGGUCCAAUGAUGGAUAGUCAGAGAUGACUGGACCAGAACAGAAACACAUCCCGCCCAGAGUACUAUGAUGGUAAAACCUGAGGUUUCUGGUUAGGGAAUGAAAAGUCUGACCCACAUGGAGCAAGGCCAAACAGAACUAUAGGUUCCUGCACCUUGUUCAGGUAGGCCGCAUAGCUAAAUAUCGUAAAAACAGAAGGAGGGUUACGGCCAGCACGC